rnacentral:rRNA from 1 species
CAGCAGCCGCGGUAAUACAGAGGAUGCAAGCGUUAUCCGGAAUGAUUGGGUGUAAAGCGUCUGUAGGUGGCUUUUCAAGUCCGCCAUCAAAUCCCCGGGCUCAACCCUGGACAGGCAGUGGAAACUACCAAGCUGGAGUACGGUAGGGGCAGAGGGAAUUUCCGGUGGAGAGGUGAAAUGCGUUGAGAUUGGAAAGAACACCAACGGUGAAAGCGCUCUGCUGGGCCGACACUGACACUGAGAGACGAAAUCUAGGGGAGCAAAUGGGAUUAGAUACCCCGGUAGUCCCUGUCUCUUAUAC